rnacentral:antisense_RNA from 1 species
GAACACAAAAUGGCGACACGUGGUUAGCAUUCGUCGCCAACGAGAAAUUGGGGUCGGCCCGAAAGCUCUAGAAUGCACCCCUAUUCCUCCCCGGGGCCAUUCCCGCUCAACGAGUUUUAUGACCUAAAAAACCCCACAGGCUGGUCUGAAGAGGAAGACACUUAAAGAUGAAGUGCUUAAUUCAAGGUCACAGAAUGUCGGGGAUGGACCUCCAGAUUUCCUUACUGACCUGCAUUAUCUUGUGGAUACCUGAGUGAAUUCCACACCACCCAUUUUAUAGAUGAAGCCACUGAGACGUGGAGCAACUGACUGAGUAGUCACUGCCCCACCCCUGCCUGGAGCCUCACACAUGACUUCUCUUAGUGACCACAGGUGAGACGUGGUCUUGUAACACAGUGGUUAAGAAUGUGACUUUGGAGCCAGCCUGCUAGGGGCUGAAUUCUGACUCAGCCAUUUAUUAACUGUGUGACCUUAGGUCAUAGAAUUUUCCACACUCCUUGACGGAGGUUCUUAACCCUUAUCCAUCAGCAUUCUCAGACAG